rnacentral:rRNA from 1 species
GACGAACGCUGGCGGCGUGCUUAACACAUGCAAGUCGAACGGAAAGGCCUCUUUCGGGGGGUACUCGAGUGGCGAACGGGUGAGUAACACGUGAGUAACCUGCCCUUGACUUUGGGAUAACUUCAGGAAACUGGGGCUAAUACCGGAUAGGAGCUCCUGCUGCAUGGUGGGGGUUGGAAAGUUUCGGCGGUUGGGGAUGGACUCGCGGCUUAUCAGCUUGUUGGUGGGGUAGAGGCUUACCAAGGCUUUGACGGGUAGCCGGCCUGAGAGGGUGACCGGCCACAUUGGGACUGAGAUACGGCCCAGACUCCUACGGGAGGCAGCAGUGGGGAAUAUUGCACAAUGGGUGGAAGCCUGAUGCAGCAACGCCGUGUGCGGGAUGACGGCCUUCGGGUUGUAAACCGCUUUCGCUCAUGACGAAGCUUUGUGUGACGGUAGUGGGUAAAGAAGCACCGGCUAACUACGUG